UACAGAGGGUGCAAGCGUUAAUCGGAUUUACUGGGCGUAAAGCGCGCGUAGGCGGCUAAUUAAGUCAAAUGUGAAAUCCCCGAGCUUAACUUGGGAAUUGCAUUCGAUACUGGUUAGCUAGAGUGUGGGAGAGGAUGGUAGAAUUCCAGGUGUAGCGGUGAAAUGCGCAGAUAUCAGGAGGAACACCGAUGGCGAAGGCAGGUCUCUGGGCAUUAACUGACACUCAUGCACGAAAGCGUGGGGAGCAAACAGG
rnacentral:rRNA from 1 species